UACGUAGGGUGCAAGCGUUGUCCGGAAUUAUUGGGCGUAAAGAGCUCGUAGGCGGUCUGUCGCGUCUGCUGUGAAAAUCCAGGGCUCAACCCUGGACCUGCAGUGGGUACGGGCAGACUAGAGUGCGGUAGGGGAGAUCGGAAUUCCUGGUGUAGCGGUGAAAUGCGCAGAUAUCAGGAGGAACACCGGUGGCGAAGGCGGAUCUCUGGAACGGUACUGACGCUGAGACGCGAAAGCGUGGGGAGCGAACAGG
rnacentral:rRNA from 1 species